GAUGAACGCUGGCGGCGUGCCUAAUACAUGCAAGUCGAGCGAACGGACGAGAAGCUUGCUUCUCUGAUGUUAGCGGCGGACGGGUGAGUAACACGUGGAUAACCUACCUAUAAGACUGGGAUAACUUCGGGAAACCGGAGCUACUACCGGAUGAUAUUUUGAACCGCAUGGUUCAAAAGUGAAAGACGGUCUUGCUGUCACUUAUAGAUGGAUCCGCGCUGCAUUAGCUAGUUGGUAAGGUAACGGCUUACCAAGGCAACGAGGCAUAGCCGACCUGAGAGGGCGGUCGGCCACACUGGAACUGAGACACGGUCCAGACUCCUACGGGAGGAAGCAGUAGGGAAUCUUCCGCAAUGGGCGAAAGCCUGACGGAGCAACGCCGCGGGAGUGAUGAAGGUCUUCGGAUCGGAAAACUCUGUUAUUAGGGAAGAAGAUAUGUGUAAGUAACUGUGAACAUCUUGACGGUACCGAAUCAGAAAGCCACGGCUAACUACGUG
rnacentral:rRNA from 1 species